UGGGGAAUUUUGCACAAUGGGGGAAACCCCGAUGCAGCGACGCCGCGUGAUUUAGAAGGCCUUCGGGUUGUAAAAAUCUUUUCUAUGGGAAGAAAAUGACAGUACCAUAGGAAUAAGGACCGGCUAAUUACGUGCCAGCAGCCGCGGUAAUACGUAAGGUCCGAGCGUUGUCCGGAAUCAUUGGGCGUAAAGGGUACGUAGGCGGGUAAGCAAGUUAGAAGUGAAAUCCUGUAGCUCAACUACAGUAAGCUUUUAAAACUGCUCAUCUUGAGAUAUGGAAGGGAAAGUGGAAUUCCUAGUGUAGCGGUGAAAUGCGCAGAUAUUGGGAGGACUACCGGUGGCGAAGGCGACUUUCUGGCCAUAAUCUGACGCUGAGGUACGAAAGCGUGGGUAGCAAACAGG
rnacentral:rRNA from 1 species